GGCUCAGAGCGAACGUUAGCGGCGGGCCUAACACAUGCAAGUCGAACGCGAAAGGUCUUCGGACUGAGUAGAGUGGCGCACGGGUGAGUAACACGUAGGUAAUCUACCCUUUGGCGGGGGAUAACGUUCCGAAAGGAGCGCUAAUACCGCAUAAGACCACGGAGUCUCCGGACGCUGUGGGAAAAGGUGGCCUCUUCUUGAAAGCUAUCACCGAAGGAUGAGCCUGCGUCCCAUCAGCUAGUUGGUAAGGUAAUGGCUUACCAAGGCGAAGACGGGUAGCUGGUUUGAGAGAAUGAUCAGCCACACUGGCACUGGAACACGGGCCAGACUCCUACGGGAGGCAGCAGUGAGGAAUAUUGGGCAAUGGGCGAAAGCCUGACCCAGCCACGCCGCGUGAGUGAUGAAGGCCCUCGGGUCGUAAAGCUCUGUGGAGAGGGACGAAAACCCUGGUUUCAAAUAGGCUCCAGGCUUGACGGUACCUCUUUAGCAAGCACCGGCUAACUCUGUG
rnacentral:rRNA from 1 species